AGUGAACGCUGGCGGUAGGUCUAACACAUGCAAGUCGAACGGCAGCACAGUAAGAGCUUGCUCUUACGGGUGGCGAGUGGCGGACGGGUGAGGAAUACAUCGGAAUCUACUUUUUCGUGGGGGAUAACGUAGGGAAACUUACGCUAAUACCGCAUACGACCUACGGGUGAAAGCAGGGGAUCUUCGGACCUUGCGCGAUUGAAUGAGCCGAUGUCGGAUUAGCUAGUUGGCGGGGUAAAGGCCCACCAAGGCGACGAUCCGUAGCUGGUCUGAGAGGAUGAUCAGCCACACUGGAACUGAGACACGGUCCAGACUCCUACGGGAGGCAGCAGUGGGGAAUAUUGGACAAUGGGCGCAAGCCUGAUCCAGCCAUACCGCGUGGGUGAAGAAGUCCUUCGGUUUGUAAAGUCUUUUUGUUGGGAAAGAAAAGCAGCAGGUUAAUACCCCGCUGUUCUGACGGUACCCAAAGAAUAAGCACCGGCUAACUUCGUG
rnacentral:rRNA from 1 species